GACGAACGCUGGCGGCGUGCUUAACACAUGCAAGUCGAACGGAAAGGCCCUGCUUUUGUGGGGUGCUCGAGUGGCGAACGGGUGAGUAACACGUGAGUAACCUGCCCUGGACUUUGGGAUAACUUCAGGAAACUGGGGCUAAUACCGGAUAGGAGCUCCUGCUGCAUGGUGGGGGUUGGAAAGUUUCGGCGGUUGGGGAUGGACUCGCGGCUUAUCAGCUUGUUGGUGGGGUAGUGGCUUACCAAGGCUUUGACGGGUAGCCGGCCUGAGAGGGUGACCGGCCACAUUGGGACUGAGAUACGGCGCAGACUGCUACGGGAGGCAGAAGUGGGGAAUAUUGCACAAUGGGCGGAAGCCUGAUGCAGAGGCGCCGCGUGCGGGAUGACGGCCUUCGGGUUGCAAAACGCUUUCGCCUGUGACGAAGCGUGAGUGACGGUAAUGGAUGAAGAAGCACCGGCUAACUACGUG
rnacentral:rRNA from 1 species